rnacentral:rRNA from 1 species
UACAGAGGUGGCAAGCGUUGAUCGGAUUCAUUGGGCUUAGAGCGCGUGUAGGCGGCUUCGCAAGUACUUGGUGAAAUGCCCCGGCUUAACCGGGGACCCGCCUGGUAUACUGCGGGGCUUGAGGCAGGUAGAGGCGCCUGGAACUCUAGGUGGAGCGGUGAAAUGCGUAGAUAUCUAGGGGAACGCCAGUGGCGAAAGCGGGGCGCUGGGUCUGUCCUGACGCUGAGAUGCGAAAGCGUGGGGAGCAAACGGG